UACGUAGGGUGCAAGCGUUAAUCGGAAUUACUGGGCGUAAAGCGUGCGCAGGCGGUUCCAUAAGACAGAUGUGAAAUCCCCGGGCUCAACCUGGGAACUGCAUUUGUGACUGUGGAGCUAGAGUACGGUAGAGGGGGAUGGAAUUCCGCGUGUAGCAGUGAAAUGCGUAGAUAUGCGGAGGAACACCAAUGGCGAAGGCAAUCCCCUGGACCUGUACUGACGCUCAUGCACGAAAGCGUGGGGAGCAAACAGG
rnacentral:rRNA from 1 species